GUUUCUGUCUGUCUGUCUGUCUGUCUGUCUGUCUGUCUGUCUGUCUGUCUGUCUGUCUGUCUGUCUGUCUGUCUGUCUGUCUGUCUGUCUGUCUGUCUGUCUGUCUGUCUGUCUGUCUGUCUGUCUGUCUGUCUGUCUGUCUGUCUGUCUGUCUGUCUGUCUGUCUGUCUGUCUGUCUGUCUGUCUCUGUCUCUGUCUCUGUCUCUGUCUGUGUGUGCAUACUGUGCGUGUGUGUGUUUGUUAAAUGGUUCUAUAUACUGUAUAUCACAGUGAUGCCUUCACACAACAGAACAGCGAUAUUUAUGCACAUUACAAAAAUGUCUGUCUUCUUCUUUUUACAGUCUGCAGGGCUUUCAUCACCACUGAAUGGUAUGCUGUCCUGAUGUCUCUCUCAAAGCCAGGAGGACUGACGUGGCGUCAGAGACUUCCAGGUUCUCUGUGGAUCAGCCCCUGAGAGCUGUAGGAUCCACGCAGGAGGAUGCAGGGCCUCAGGAGGAACAGCUCUAGCCAGCUCUGACUUCUGGUGGGGCAGGACAGCUGGUGUUGUGAAUCAGGCCGCUAUAGUGCCAGACACGGCUUCUUCCCAACACCAGGGUCACACCCCACUGUCCGCAGCACCGAAGCCCCGGAGCCCAGCCCUCUCCCUCACCGGCAGCAAGGCACAGCAGCAGAUCACAGGAGGACAGAUUAAAAAUGCAUGCCGAGACUAGUGGAGGAUGUGUCUUUCAAAAACAGACUAGUCGAAGUUAAUUAAAAAUAAACUAAAUAUUCCACUGUGUAUCUGGGGCAUAAGAGCAACAUUUGAGCAUCGUCCGAAGCAUAACCACCAUUGUUUAAUUCUCAAUUGUGAUUAAAGUAGAGUUGUAUUGUAUUGACUUGCCCUAUGACAGUUUCUGUGUGUCUGCACACUAGGACUAGGAUUCCCAGAACCGCUAGUGGAUGGGAAUAGCAUGAAAUGAAUAAUCAAUCAUAAUGAAAUGUGUUCCGGUUUAUGUAAAAGCAUGACAAAUGAAAGGCUGGGUCUAUUCCUUUGUCUGGGAUUAAAUUGAAAAUGGAUUUUGAUGUUAGUCUCAGUCUUAGUAUCAGUACGCUUUGUUGGCAUCCCUCUGUGCUGCGUUUAUUUCACUUUAUAUUAUAUACUUUUAUUAAAACUCAUCAAAGGACUUUUUAUUUGUUAUUCGUUACGGAACGAAUGUUAUGUUUUCAUUGUGUGGUGGUAGUUUGUGAGUGAAAGUGUUUAAGUACAAUUGUGAAUUAGUUUUUGCAUCAUUAUUCCAAUAAUAAAGCAGGA
rnacentral:lncRNA from 1 species